rnacentral:rRNA from 1 species
UACGUAGGGUGCGAGCGUUGCCCGGAUUUAUUGGGCGUAAAGGGCGCGUAGGCGGCUCUGCACGUCCGUUGUGAAAUCGCCCGGCUCAACUGGGCGGGGUCAGCGGAUACGGCGGAGCUUGAGCAAGCUAGGGGGCAAUGGAAUUCCCGGUGUAGUGGUGGAAUGCGUAGAUAUCGGGAGGAACACCAGUGGCGAAGGCGGCUGCCUG